GCCAAAAAUUGGACCCAAGAAACCAUGACCACUCCAAACAAAAUUCCAAAUAGUGAGUAAACUCGAGUAACCUAAUUUUCUAUUAAAAUGGGUCUUCGACACAUCAGGUUUAUCCUUCUUUAUCAAGCCUAGAGUUAAGAAUCUAAAGCAUCGCGCUUUUUCUACAGUAGCACUAAUUGUUCUAUUUUCAAUGUGUAGCUGUUAUUAAUUAAUCUGAGUGCAUACUGAUGAACUGUGUGCAUUUCAUUUGAUUGGCCUAGGUUAGAAUUAAUGAAAGGUUAUUUUUCUUUUUCACAUAUUUACUGUUUCUUUAUCACAGGGUCCAAUAUUAUAGGAAAUACAUAUUUUCUAAUUACUUACAGUUAUGCCUAACAUAAUGACCUGAACUGAAAACAAAACCAAAAUACUAAUUCAAGUUUUGACAGUUAGCUUCGUAAAGGUCAAAAUAGAACUGCAAAGGGAUUAAAUCAUUGAAGAUCUUUCCAAUUGUGAUGUCACAUUUCACAGCCAAUUUCAAAUUGUGGCAAAAACAGUGCUCAUUUAUGUCUAUUGCAGCAUAUAAAUCUCAAGAAAAGUUGCAUGUUUAGCCAAAAGCAGUGGACAGCAUAUUUCCACACCUAUAUCAAAUUCCUUUCAGAAUGACAAGGAUGGAUCUUUCAGGAGGCCGAUUCAUGUGUGGGAAAAGGAUGAAAAGGGGAUGAGCCUCAUGGUUGAUCAUCGAAUACUUGACCUCUUGUGAUAUCGAGAUUUGUGGAGCCUAGGGUUUCUGCAGAUUAUCUAUUGAUCUUUGGGAACGGAAACUCCCUUAGAUUGGCAUAACCAAGGUGGUGAAAGACCCACUGAAGGGUUGCAGAUUUGGGAAGGAUAAUUCAGUCCUUUCAUUUGGAUUCCAUUGGUGGCCAAAGGCCAAAUUGUGCUUGGGUUCGACUUGGACAAUAUUGUAAGCAUUUGGCAUUAGUGUCUACAACGAUUUUGGCUAUCUAAAAUGCUGAUUGUGAUUACCUUGUUCUGAGUUCUUAUCUCAGUAAUGUUCAGACUUCAUAUCAGUUGGAGAGAUGCCACGAUUUUGCUCAUAACUUCCAUUUGGUGCAUCGAUUUUGCUACUAGAUUGGAGCGCUCACCUUGGGGGAAGCCAACGAUGCUUCUUAAUGCUUAAAAGGGGACAUACAAGCUGGUAUUUAUUUGUUAUUGGCUUUCAUAUCAGAACAGGGGGGAUUUUGGAGAAUAGGGCGAUUUGGCAAGAGGAGAGCUCAAAGUGAAUUGAUAUUGCUUGCUUAUUCAUCAUCACACCUAGGCGCUUCAUCCAGGUAUGGAGGAUGAACAUGUAUCGAUUUCAAUGCCAUCCCCUUUCUUUUGAAUGAUGCAUAUAUAGUAAGGUAGUCACAAUCAAGUGGCACCUUGAUCGGACAUGUCCGACCAAGACGUCACUUGGUCGUGACUCUUAUAAAUGUCAACCGAUCCACUUGGUGUCUAUGAUAACUAAUCGGUGCAAUUGUAAAUGAUAACAGAUCAAUAUAAACACACCCGAUAAUGAAUCGGUAUCAAAGCAAACAAGCCUGAUAACUAAUAGCAUUACAUAUGCCAUCGGGUUAAUACCCCGAUAGUAUAUUAAUGCCGAUUCAUAAAUGAAUCGACAUUAAUUUGAUGCUUAACUAUGUUAAGCAAGUCGUCGAUCUAAUCCAUCUUCAUCCAAUGUCAAUAUCAUAAUCAUGAUCAAUGUUACAGUCUGAUAAACAUAUUCAGUUCGGAAAGCAUAAAUCAGAUAAUCUAAUAGCAUAGAUGAGUAAACCAAAACAGAAUAGAGGAGAUUAACGGGUUAGGAAAGUCUUAUCUUGAAGAAGCUACUAAUGCAUUAACAAUUUUGUUGCAACUUGUAUACUAUUUUUUUAAAGCACAUGCGUAUUUGUUAGUUUACAGAUUUGUCCUUUAGAAAGUGGUAACUGAAAUUACUCUUUUGCCCUAAAGCAAAGGCAAAUCUUGACUAACAAUUG